GAAUGUCAAGAGGCGAUUGAUUAGACGCCGGGCGACUAAAUCUCCCUGAAUAUCCCAGUGUGCCCUUAGCCUUAGCAGGGCUGGAUAUAUAGAGAUAAGCAAUGCUUCUCUCAUUGGGACGAGUAAUAACACAAAGAGAAAAAUACAAGUCUCGUCAGAAUAGGAGGAAACGAUAGAUUAUUGUAGAGCUGGAAACACAGAAAGAACAAUAAAAAAAAGUCUGGCCAGAAUAGGAGGAAACGAUAGAUUAUGGUAGAGCUCGAAACACAGAAAGAACAAUGAAAAAAACGCACAACUGAGGGGAAAAGGGCCAUGCGCUUCGUCAUACAGACAGCAGAGGGCGCUGUCAUUCACAGUCUUGCGCAGGGAUUACGUCCUUCGGCCUCUUUGCCAGAAGCUUAGUUUGCGAGAGCCACUUCCAGCGUUAACAGAGGCAGGAGUUUGAGUGUCACUAGUAGGCGCCAUCAGCGGCCGGUGUAGCGGUUGAAGAUGAACCACAGCAUCCGAAGCAGAUGUCCAGAUGAGGACUGGUAUUUCAACAAAUGUUCCAAAAGAAAAAGAUCACAAAGCAGCGACAAUGAAAAGGAAUCCAAUAAAAAGAUUUUCUCACCAUA